rfam:Triticum aestivum genome assembly, contig: Triticum_aestivum_CS42_TGACv1_scaffold_460474_5DS
CAAGUACUCCCUCCGUCCGGAAUUACUUGUCAUCAAAAUGGAUGUGUCUAGAACUAAAAUACAUCUGGAUACAUCCAUUUCAAUGACAAGUAUUUUCGAAUGGAGGGAGUACAAG